GCCUUUAGAACAAUAACCUCAUAACCCGGUCAGGACAGAAAUGGAGCAUCCGCAUUGAGAAGUGUUGUGUCUUUAGGUCUUUU
rnacentral:SRP_RNA from 13 species